rnacentral:rRNA from 1 species
CAGUCGCCGCGGUAAUACAGAGGGUGCAAGCGUUAAUCGGAAUUACUGGGCGUAAAGCGCGCGUAGGUGGUUUGUUAAGUUGGAUGUGAAAUCCCCGGGCUCAACCUGGGAACUGCAUCUAAAACUGGCAAGCUAGAGUAUGGUAGAGGGUGGUGGAAUUUCCUGUGUAGCGGUGAAAUGCGUAGAUAUAGGAAGGAACACCAGUGGCGAAGGCGACCACCUGGACUGAUACUGACACUGAGGUGCGAAAGCGUGGGGAGCAAACAGGAUUAGAUACCCCUGUAGUCCCUGUCUCUUAUAC